UACGGGGGGGGGCAAGCGUUGUUCGGAAUUACUGGGCGUAAAGGGCUCGUAGGUGGCCAACUAAGUCAUGCGUGAAAUCCCUCGGCUUAACUGGGGAACUGCGUCUGAUACUGGAUGGCUUGAGUUUGGGAGAGGGAUGCGGAAUUCCAGGUGUAGCGGUGAAAUGCGUAGAUAUCUGGAGGAACACCGGUGGCGAAGGCGGCAUCCUGGACCAACACUGACACUGAGGAGCGAAAGCCAGGGGAGCAAACGGG
rnacentral:rRNA from 1 species